rnacentral:rRNA from 1 species
CCUACGGGAGGCAGCAGUAGGGAAUCUUCCACAAUGGGCGCAAGCCUGAUGGAGCAACACCGCGUGAGUGCAGAAGGGUUUCGGCUCGUAAAGCUCUGUUGUUGGAGAAGAACGUUCGUGAGAGUAACUGUUCACGCAGUGACGGUAUCCAACCAGAAAGUCACGGCUAACUACGCGCCCGCAGCCGCGGUAAUCCGGAGGUGGCAAGCGUUAGCCGGAUGUAGUGGGCGGAACGCGAGCGCAGGCGGUUGCUUAGGUCUGAUGUGAAAGCCUUCGGCUUAACCGAAGAAGUGCAUCGGAAACCGGGCGACUUGAGUGCAGAAGAGGACAGUGGAACUCCAUGUGUAGCGGUGGAAUGCGUAGAUAUAUGGAAGCACACCAGUGGCGAAGGCGGCUGUCUGGUCUGCAACUGACGCUGAGGCUCGAAAGCAUGGGUAGCGAACAGGAUUAGAUACCCGGGUAGUC